AAUUUUGGACAAUGGGGGAAACCCUGAUCCAGCCAUCUCGCGUGUAUGAUGAAGGCCUUCGGGUUGUAAAGUACUUUUGGCAGAGAAGAAAAGGUACCUUCGAAUACGAGGUACUGCUGACGGUAGCUGCAGAAUAACCACCGGCUAACUACGUGCCAGCAGCCGCGGUAAUACGUAGGGUUCAAGCGAUAAUCGGAAUUACUGGGCGUAAAGCGUGUGUAGGCGGUGCGGAAAGAAAAAUGUGAAAUCCCAGGGCUCAACCUUGGAACUGCAUUUUUAACUGCCGAGCUAGAGUAUGUCAGAGGGGGGUAGAAUUCCACGUGUAGCAGUGAAAUGCGUAGAUAUGUGGAGGAAUACCGAUGGCGAAGGCAGCCCCCUGGGAUAAUACUGACGCUCAGACACGAAAGCGUGGGGAGCAAACAG
rnacentral:rRNA from 1 species